rnacentral:sRNA from 1 species
UCGGUGCCUAGGGCACCAUCAUCAGGAUAAAAACAAUACAUAAAAUCAUACUGAAGUACAAAAUCGGGUUGUAAAAAUUUAAACGUCACAAUGUUACAAACGUUUAAAUUUUUACAACCCGAUUUUGUACUUCAGUAUGAUUUUCUGUAUUGUUUUUAUCCUGAUGACGGUGCCCUAGCUAGGCA